rnacentral:rRNA from 1 species
GGGUUGUGAGGUUAAGCGACUAAGCGUACACGGUGGAUGCCCUGGCAGUCAGAGGCGAUGAAGGACGUGCUAAUCUGCGAUAAGCGUCGGUGAGGUGAUAUGAACCGUUAUAACCGGCGAUUUCCGAAUGGGGAAACCCAGUGUGUUUCGACACACUAUCAUUAACUGAAUCCAUAGGUUAAUGAGGCGAACCGGGGGAACUGAAACAUCUAAGUACCCCGAGGAAAAGAAAUCAACCGAGAUUCCCCCAGUAGCGGCGAGCGAACGGGGAGGAGCCCAGAGCCUGAAUCAGUGUGUGUGUUAGUGGAAGCGUCUGGAAAGGCGCGCGAUACAGGGUGACAGCCCCGUACACAAAAAUGCACAUAUUGUGAGCUCGAUGAGUAGGGCGGGACACGUGGUAUCCUGUCUGAAUAUGGGGGACCAUCCUCCAAGGCUAAAUACUCCUGACUGACCGAUAGUGAACCAGUACCGUGAGGGAAAGGCGAAAAGAACCCCGGCGAGGGGAGUGAAAAAGAACCUGAAACCGUGUACGUACAAGCAGUGGGAGCCUCUUAAUGGGGUGACUGCGUACCUUUUGUAUAAUGGGUCAGCGACUUAUAUUCUGUAGCAAGGUUAACCGAAUAGGGGAGCCGAAGGGAAACCGAGUCUUAACUGGGCGUUAAGUUGCAGGGUAUAGACCCGAAACCCGGUGAUCUAGCCAUGGGCAGGUUGAAGGUUGGGUAACACUAACUGGAGGACCGAACCGACUAAUGUUGAAAAAUUAGCGGAUGACUUGUGGCUGGGGGUGAAAGGCCAAUCAAACCGGGAGAUAGCUGGUUCUCCCCGAAAGCUAUUUAGGUAGCGCCUCGUGAAUUCAUCUCCGGGGGUAGAGCACUGUUUCGGCAAGGGGGUCAUCCCGACUUACCAACCCGAUGCAAACUGCGAAUACCGGAGAAUGUUAUCACGGGAGACACACGGCGGGUGCUAACGUCCGUCGUGAAGAGGGAAACAACCCAGACCGCCAGCUAAGGUCCCAAAGUCAUGGUUAAGUGGGAAACGAUGUGGGAAGGCCCAGACAGCCAGGAUGUUGGCUUAGAAGCAGCCAUCAUUUAAAGAAAGCGUAAUAGCUCACUGGUCGAGUCGGCCUGCGCGGAAGAUGUAACGGGGCUAAACCAUGCACCGAAGCUGCGGCAGCGACACUAUGUGUUGUUGGGUAGGGGAGCGUUCUGUAAGCCUGUGAAGGUGGCCUGUGAGGGUUGCUGGAGGUAUCAGAAGUGCGAAUGCUGACAUAAGUAACGAUAAAGCGGGUGAAAAGCCCGCUCGCCGGAAGACCAAGGGUUCCUGUCCAACGUUAAUCGGGGCAGGGUGAGUCGACCCCUAAGGCGAGGCCGAAAGGCGUAGUCGAUGGGAAACAGGUUAAUAUUCCUGUACUUGGUGUUACUGCGAAGGGGGGACGGAGAAGGCUAUGUUGGCCGGGCGACGGUUGUCCCGGUUUAAGCGUGUAGGCUGGUUUUCCAGGCAAAUCCGGAAAAUCAAGGCUGAGGCGUGAUGACGAGGCACUACGGUGCUGAAGCGACAAAUGCCCUGCUUCCAGGAAAAGCCUCUAAGCAUCAGGUAACAUCAAAUCGUACCCCAAACCGACACAGGUGGUCAGGUAGAGAAUACCAAGGCGCUUGAGAGAACUCGGGUGAAGGAACUAGGCAAAAUGGUGCCGUAACUUCGGGAGAAGGCACGCUGAUAUGUAGGUGAAGCGACUUGCUCGUGGAGCUGAAAUCAGUCGAAGAUACCAGCUGGCUGCAACUGUUUAUUAAAAACACAGCACUGUGCAAACACGAAAGUGGACGUAUACGGUGUGACGCCUGCCCGGUGCCGGAAGGUUAAUUGAUGGGGUUAGCGGUAACGCGAAGCUCUUGAUCGAAGCCCCGGUAAACGGCGGCCGUAACUAUAACGGUCCUAAGGUAGCGAAAUUCCUUGUCGGGUAAGUUCCGACCUGCACGAAUGGCGUAAUGAUGGCCAGGCUGUCUCCACCCGAGACUCAGUGAAAUUGAACUCGCUGUGAAGAUGCAGUGUACCCGCGGCAAGACGGAAAGACCCCGUGAACCUUUACUAUAGCUUGACACUGAACAUUGAGCCUUGAUGUGUAGGAUAGGUGGGAGGCUUUGAAGUGUGGACGCCAGUCUGCAUGGAGCCGACCUUGAAAUACCACCCUUUAAUGUUUGAUGUUCUAACGUGGGCCCCUUACCGGGGUUGCGGACAGUGUCUGGUGGGUAGUUUGACUGGGGCGGUCUCCUCCUAAAGAGUAACGGAGGAGCACGAAGGUUGGCUAAUCCUGGUCGGACAUCAGGAGGUUAGUGCAAUGGCAUAAGCCAGCUUGACUGCGAGCGUGACGGCGCGAGCAGGUGCGAAAGCAGGUCAUAGUGAUCCGGUGGUUCUGAAUGGAAGGGCCAUCGCUCAACGGAUAAAAGGUACUCCGGGGAUAACAGGCUGAUACCGCCCAAGAGUUCAUAUCGACGGCGGUGUUUGGCACCUCGAUGUCGGCUCAUCACAUCCUGGGGCUGAAGUAGGUCCCAAGGGUAUGGCUGUUCGCCAUUUAAAGUGGUACGCGAGCUGGGUUUAGAACGUCGUGAGACAGUUCGGUCCCUAUCUGCCGUGGGCGCUGGAGAACUGAGGGGGGCUGCUCCUAGUACGAGAGGACCGGAGUGGACGCAUCACUGGUGUUCGGGUUGUCAUGCCAAUGGCACUGCCCGGUAGCUAAAUGCGGAAGAGAUAAGUGCUGAAAGCAUCUAAGCACGAAACUUGCCCCGAGAUGAGUUCUCCCUGACUCCUUGAGAGUCCUGAAGGAACGUUGAAGACGACGACGUUGAUAGGCCGGGUGUGUAAGCGCAGCGAUGCGUUGAGCUAACCGGUACUAAUGAACCGUGAGGCUUAACCUUACAACGCCGAAG